rnacentral:other from 1 species
AUCUCUCUGCUGUACUCGUGAGGCUGCUGAACCCAGGCGGAACAUUUACAAAAAAGGGAACCUUUUCCAGUCGUGGUGUGCUGCCCCAUUACGCGGGAUUUGCCUGAAGCGGCUUAAAGGUUUCCACCUAGUAGGGAACUCGCUGAGAGGUCCUUGAGCCCACGGUACAGCGGAGAGAUU